rnacentral:rRNA from 1 species
GACGAACGCUGGCGGCGUGGAUUAGGCAUGCAAGUCGAGCGACGCAACGGAUUCGUCCGUUGACGGAGCGGCGAACGGGUGAGUAACACGUGAACAAUUUGUCCUCACGUUCCGGAUAAUUGGGAGAAAUCCCUUGUAAUACGGGCGAGGGUCACGACAGGGCAUCCUGUUGUGAAGGAACGUUCAGGCAUUUAUGUUUGAGCGGCGCGAGGAGAUGUUCGCGGCCUAUCAGGUAGUUGGUGGGGUAAUGGCCUACCAAGCCGACGACGGGUAGCUGGUCUGAGAGGAUGGUCAGCCACAUUGGGACUGAGACACUGCCCAGACUCCUACGGGAGGCUGCAGUCGAGAAUCUUGGGCAAUGCACGAAAGUGUGACCCAGCGACGCCGCGUGAAGGAUGAAGGCCCUCUGGGUUGUAAACUUCUUUUAUGGGGGAAGAAUGGGCUCACGCCUUUGACGGUACCCCAUGAAUAAGCCACGGCUAACUACGUGCCAGCAGCCGCGGUAAUACGUAGGUGGCAAGCGUUGUCCGGAUUUACUGGGCGUAAAGCGUGCGCAGGCGGACGGGUAAGUAGGAAGUGAAAGGUUGGAGCUCAACUCCAACACUGCUCCCUAUACUGCCUGUCUUGAAUGUCGGAGAGGAAGAGGGAACGACACGUGUAGCGGUGAAAUGCGUUGAGAUGUGUCGGAACACCAAUGGCGAAAGCACUCUUCUGGACGAAUAUUGACGCUCACGCACGAAAGCUAAGGUAGCAAACAGGAUUAGAUACCCUGGUAGUCUUAGCCAUAAACGAUGUUCACUAGGUGUUGGGGCGUAAGCCUCGGUGCCGCAGCUAACGCAUUAAGUGAACCGCCUGGGGACUACGGCCGCAAGGUUGAAACUCAAAGGAAUUGGCGGGGGCCCGCACAAGCGGUGGAGCAUGUGGCUUAAUUCGAUGCAACGCGAAGAACCUUACCAGGGCUUGACAUGGAACUGCAAGGUGGUGAAAGCCACUCGCUUUCGAAGGUGUUUCACAGGUGGUGCAUGGCUGUCGUCAGCUCGUGUUGUGAAAUGUUGGGUUAAGUCCCGCAACGAGCGCAACCCUCAUGUUUUGUUACCAGCGGAUAAUGCCGGGAACUCGAAACAAACUGCCUCUGUAAAGAGGAGGAAGGUGGGGAUGACGUCAAGUCAUCAUGCCCCUUACGCCCUGGGCUGCACACAUGCUACAAUGGCCGGUACAAAGGGUCGCUAACUCGCGAGAGUAUGCUAAUCCCAAAAAGCCGGUCUCAGUUCGGAUUGGAGUCUGCAACUCGACUCCAUGAAGUCGGAAUCGCUAGUAAACGCCGGUCAGCAAUACGGCGUUGAAUACGUUCCCGGGCCU